rnacentral:RNase_P_RNA from 2 species
UACGGUGAGCAAUCGCUGCCUCCCGUAAGGGAGGUAGAGGAAAGUCGAGACACGCAUACCCGUUCGGGUAUAAAAUGGUGCCCGGUGUAAGCCGGGGCAGGGCGACCUGACGACGGUAAAACGGACUGGAGGCAUGGCUUCCAGUUGGGAGUAGCCGUAAAGUGCCACAGAAACUAUUUCACCGGGUGACUGGUGAGUGCAAGGGUAAACUCCGCCAGCGUGCAACCCAAAUAGGCAGUUUAAAACUGCGGGUAGGGGCAUCUCCGUAAGGGGAAAGGAUUAUAUCCUUAGAUAGAUGAUUGCUUGAAAAAACAGAAUCUCGCUUACAGCC